UGUAAAGUAAAUAUACUGACAAGUCUUACUUUAAAUUAUAGCUUUGCUACUGCUCUAAACAGUUUUAAGAUAUGAACUUGAACUGGCUUUUGCUAAAAGAAUGAGAGCACACAUAUGCAUAAAAGCAAGAGCAGAGGAAAAAAUCUGAGUCAACUUGUUACUAAACUUUCCAUACCGAACUUCCAACUAUAAUCUCAGGGAUACCUGAAAUAGCUGAGUUUCUUAUUGUGAGAGCACAGGUAUGUUAGGGUAGGAACUGUUAAACAUACCUAGUGAGACAUCUAUAAUACAUAUUUUUUAUACCAAGUUCAGUAUUCCCAAAUUCUUUUCAUUAACUUACUCCUGCCCAAAUGCAUUCCAUAACAUUUUUAUCAGUAAUCACAGGAAAGAACCACACAGAUUAUGACAUCUGGCACAUGAUUUCUCUAUCUAGGUUUUAAAUGAACAAUGGUAACAUUUAUUCUACAAAACAUGAUGAAGAGGCUCCUUUCCUCUUACCUUUCCUAGAAUCUGUAGUACAGUCUUUCAUAUUUCUUAUUCUCUCCCGAAAUUUCUAUUGCAGCUCAGUUACCAACAUCGCUUUAUAAAGUGAUGUAAUGACUGGCACAAUGACCACCAUAUUCACUGAUUUCUGCCUGCAACUUAUCUCCUACCAUGGUAACGCCUGGACAGCUACUAUACAUAUAUAUAUUUUUAAAAUAGCAAGCUUCUAAAGAGUAGUACCCAUUCAUUAACUGCAAACAGGUAUUUACUAAACUCCUAUUAUGUGCCAGCCUUAGUACUAGAAAACAGGGAGACAACAGUGAAUAAGACAUACAUGUUCUAUAUCUUCAUUGAUCUUAUAACUGAUUAGGGAUGGAGGAGAAAGAGAAGGGGGAGGUGAAGAGACACUUACUUUAGAUAGCAUGAUCAGAGUAUCUCUUUGAGGAGAUGACAGACUGAAAGUGAAAGAUGAGUCAGCUAUGCCAAAAAUAUUGUAGGCAAAAGAAAAUACAAGUACUGAAUGCCUGAGAUGGGCAAGAAUUAGGCAGAUUUGAUGACACAAGAGGCCUGGCAUGGCUAGAGCACAGGGAUUAGGUCAGGCAGACCAGACAAGCACAUGUAGGAAGCUCACUAGCACCAUACAACUCCCCAGCAAUGUAGUUUGUUGUGAAUGAGACCUCACAACUGCAAUGUGAAUGAUAUCCUGGAGUUGUGCAUGUUUAUGACACAUUUUGCUUAAAUUUUAAAAUGAUCAUUCUGCUGCUAUGCAAAUAGACUGGAGAGGAGAAACCAGGAGGUUAGUUAAAAGUCUACUGUGGGGUGUUGGCGAGGAUGUGGAAAAAUGAAAACACUCAUACACUGGGAGGGAAGGUAAAGUGAUACAGCUGCUGUGGAAAACAGUUUGGUGGUUCCUCAAAAAGCUAAACCAAAUUACCAUAUAACCCAGCAAUUCCACUCUUAUGAAUAUACCCUAUGAAUAUGUUUAUACCCUAGGGAAUUAAAAAUAUAUACUCACACAAAAACUCAUACAUGUAUGUUAAUAGCUACAUUAUUCUUAAUAGCCAAAAACUAAAAACAAUCUAAAAUUCCAUCAAAUGAUGAAUAGAUAAAUAAAAUAUUAUAUAUCCAUACAGUAGAAUGUUAUUUGGCCUUAAACAUGAAUAAAGUUCUGAUAUACCCCACAACAUGGAUGAACCUUGAAAACAUUUGCUAAGGGAAAGAAGGUAGACACAAAAGGCUGCUUAUUGUAGGACUCUUUUCUUUUUUUUGAGACAGAGUUUCACUCAUCAUCCAGGCUGGUGCAGUGGGGCGACCUCCACCUCCCGGGUUCAAGCAAUUCUUGUGCCUCAGCCUCUCGAGUAGCUGGGACUACAGGCAUGCGCCACCACACCUGGCUGGAUUUUUUGUAUUUUCAAUAGAGACAGGGUUUUGCCAGAACUCCUGACCUCAAGAGAUCCUCCCACCUCGGCUUCCCAAAGUGUUGGGAUUACAGCCAUGAGCCACUGUUCCUGGCCAGGACUCCAUUUUAUAAAAUAUCCAGAAUAGGCAAAUCUGUAGAGAUAGAAAGUGACUAGAGGCUGCCAGGGGUUAGGGGAAUAGGAAUGACAGCUUAAUGGGUUUGGGUUCCCGUUCAGGGUGAUGAGAAUGUUCUAGAGCUAGUAAUGGUUGUAAAACAUUGUGAAUAUACUAAAAAUGACUAAAGUGUACAUCUGAAAAGGGUUUAAAUGGUCAAUUUUUUCUCUAUAUUAAAAACUGCACCUCCAGCAAAUAAUCUAUCGUGAUAUUACAGAGAGAAAUUGUGGUGACUUGAACUAGGAUGGUGGCAGAGCAUAGAGAAAAGUGAGCAGAAAUGAGAGAGAUUCUGGAGGCAGAGCAGGCAAUCUUUAUUUGAUAGGAGGCAUCAGAGAGGAAUGGAGGGUGACUCCCAGUCUUCUGGCAGCUGGUUACUACAUUUACAGAGAAGGGAAAGACUGAGAAGGAAACAGGUUGGGAAUAUUGAGAAUGAAUAAAAAUAAAUCCAACUAAAAUAUGGAUUCUAUCAGUAACCUCAAGAAAAUCAGGAAGUUUUGGCUCUUUCUCAAAUAAUGGAAGGAGCAUAGAACUAAGGUGUAUGUGAGUAAAUUUAUCUUUUAAUCCCAGCCUGGCACUACCUAGAUAACCUUGGUCCAGUAACAUGGUCUGAUGACUUCACCUGCUGAGGAAUCAAGUGCUUCUUUCAUAUUUAUUUUGUUGUGUUGUAAUUUUUUAAAUCACUUUUAACUUCAAAACAUUUCUUCUUCUCUGGAUACAAUGUAUUUGCUUCUGUUUUACCCUAAUUUCUAAAUAGUUGAUUUAAAUUCACUCCGACUUAAGUAUUAGAAUUGGGCAAGACUGAGGAAAAGAGAGGCAGACAACGGUCAAAGUGCAAUGACUUAAAAACAUACUACAAGUCUGGAAUCUGUCCUAAGGACAGUGGGAAACCAGCUAAAGAUUUUAAGCAAAGGAGUAAUAUGAGCAUCUAAUUUGCAUUUAGCAAGAUCAUUACAAUUUUGAAAGAGGAAAAGGUCAAAAAACAGGAAGUGAGGAAGCUGUGAAAGUAAUGAGGAAGAGAAAUAAGGUCCUAGACUAAGGCAGUAAGUCACAGGAGUAAGACAAAAUCGCCCCACGAGUACAUGUGUGAGAAGACAGACCCUGAGGAACACGGACAGAGAUGAGCACAAGAGGGGGUUCACUGUGGAGAAUGAGAGGAAACCCAGAAGAGCUAUAGUUUCACAGGCUCCUAGGAAAGGAUCUCAGGAAGAAGGCCUUAUCAACAUAUUACAUGCUGAAGAGUCUAAAAUACUCAGUGACAUAGUGACAUCAAAGUCUUCUGUGACUUUGGAGGGAGGUCUUACUACAUAUAAUGGGUGGAACACCACAAACUGUUGACAAUCACUGGGAAAUCAGUGGGAAAUGAGGAAACAGUGACAUCAAAAUUCUAUCGAGAAGUUUGAUUAUGAAACAAAUAGAAAAAUUUAGCAGAAGACAAAAGGAGAUGGAUACUAAAGGCAUGAGAUUAAAAGGAACACCAAUUUACACUUUAAAUAACUUCAUAUGGAAAGCAAAGAAAUGGGACCUCUUUUUCCUCAUUUACGUAAAAAUACAGAAGACAAAAACUAUAAUAAAAUAUUUGUCUAGGUCUCAGUUGCUAGGGCAAACUGAGAACAUUUUCUUGGCUAUUAUAAAUGCUGCUUUGGACAAAUGGACAUUAUAGACCAGCUCAUUGGUAAUGUUAAAGCACCAUCAGGGAUGUAUUUCUUUUGUAUGCUCAAUAAAGGCAGCCUGGGAAAAGGUGAAGACAUGAAUUAUGUAAGCAAAAGCUUUCAUGCAGUAAAUUUAAAAGUAUUAUAUAACUAUAUACUUAAUACAUCAAAUUGUAACCUUGUAUGCUGAAAAAGGUUCUUAGCUAAAUGCUUUAAAUACAGGUGUGCCCAAUGUGUUUGUAAAAGCAAUAAAGAAAAAUAUGACCUUCUAAAACAGACAAAUUAAAGGACUAUUAUGAAUAUA
rnacentral:lncRNA from 1 species